GACAGAGGGUGCAAACGUUGUUCGGAGUUACUGGGCGUAAAGCGUGCGUAGGCGGUGUCUUAAGUUUGUUGUGAAAUCUCCCGGCUUAACCGGGAGGGUGCGGCGAAUACUGAGAUGCUGGAGUGCCGGAGAGGUAAGCGGAAUUCCUGGUGUAGCGGUGAAAUGCGUAGAUAUCAGGAGGAACACCUGCGGUGUAGACGGCUUACUGGACGGUAACUGACGCUGAGGCACGAAAGCGUGGGUAGCAAACAGG
rnacentral:rRNA from 1 species